rnacentral:rRNA from 1 species
UUGGAUAACCGUGGUAAUUCUAGAGCUAAUACAUGCUGAAAACCCCAACUUCGGGAGGGGUGUAUUUAUUAGAUAAAAAACCAACGCCCUUCGGGGCUUCUUGGUGAUUCAUGAUAACUUCACGGAUCGCAUGGCCUUGCGCCGGCGACGGUUCAUUCAAAUUUCUGCCCUAUCAACUUUCGAUGGUAAGGUAUUGGCUUACCAUGGUUUCAACGGGUAACGGGGAAUUAGGGUUCGAUUCCGGAGAGGGAGCCUGAGAAACGGCUACCACAUCCAAGGAAGGCAGCAGGCGCGCAAAUUACCCAAUCCCGACACGGGGAGGUAGUGACAAUAAAUACUGAUACAGGGCUCUUUUGGGUCUUGUAAUUGGAAUGAGUACAAUUUAAACCUCUUAACGAGGAACAAUUGGAGGGCAAGUCUGGUGCCAGCAGCCGCGGUAAUUCCAGCUCCAAUAGCGUAUAUUAAAGUUGUUGCAGUUAAAAAGCUCGUAGUUGAAACUUGGGUCUGGCUGGCAGGUCCGCCUCACCGCGUGUACUUGUCCGGCCGGGCCUUUCCUUCUGGAGAACCUCAUGCCCUUCACUGGGCGUGUUGGGGAACCAGGACUUUUACUUUGAAAAAAUUAGAGUGUUCAAAGCAGGCCUUUGCUCGAAUACGUUAGCAUGGAAUAAUAGAAUAGGACGUGCGGUCCUAUUUUGUUGGUUUCUAGGACCGCCGUAAUGAUUAAUAGGGACAGUCGGGGGCAUCAGUAUUCAAUUGUCAGAGGUGAAAUUCUUGGAUUUAUUGAAGACUAACUACUGCGAAAGCAUUUGCCAAGGAUGUUUUCAUUAAUCAGUGAACGAAAGUUAGGGGAUCGAAGACGAUCAGAUACCGUCGUAGUCUUAACCGUAAACUAUGCCGACUAGGGAUCGGGCGAUGUUCUUUUU